CGUGGUGGGGCGUGGUCCCGUAUAAAAAGGCCGGCUUCCGUGGAAGCCGGGCCAUAUAAGCCUGUGGCGGGAGGAGCGAUGUGGCAGCUUGGCGGCUCCUCUUGGGAGACGGGGCGGAGUUCCUGGUUGGGGGUACAGUUCAAACUUUUCCUCCUGCCCGCCUUCUCUUUCUCUCAGCCUUUGACCCCGCCGGGACCGAGACUCCGGGAUCGCUGGUGAUGCUUUGGCCGCUUCUUCUCCUCCUCCUCCUCCUCUCUGCCCGAAGGACGACUCUUCUUCCCCCUGCUCUCCUCCCUCCUUCCCUGGGGGAGAAGGCGACUCCUCUCCGCUUGUAAAUGCGGCCCAUCUUGAGAGCCGGGGAUGCCCGCUCAGAUACCCGCUGCUGCUCGGUUUUUGGUCCCCAAAGGAGAAGAGAAAACCCUGGACCAGGCUCGGCGUCGUAACUUUCCCAGGAUUUGAAAAACCUUUUCCUUCUUUUUUUUUUUUAAGGGAGGGGGUCUCGCUUUUGGGGGGCCGCCCCCUCCUCCCCCCUCUGCCUUCCUCCUUUGUUUCCAAGGGGGAAAAAAGGGAAAGAAAGAAAGAAAUCGGAGGAAGGGAGGAGAAAAAGAAGAGAGGGAGGAAAAAGAGAGACACUCGCACCGACAUCCAGAGAAGGGCUUCUUGCUUCUUGAAGAGGGGAUCCUUGCGAGCCUUCCCCCUCCGCUCCCACCGCUUCUGCCUUCCGAAGAAGGGGAGGGGAGGAAAGAAAAGCCCCCAGCUCAGAAACGACGCGCCCCCAGCCCGAGAGCCGCUCCGCCGGCCGAGGAAGAAGAAGGAAGAAGGAGGAGGAG